UAAAAUAUAAUUGUUUUUGUUUGUGGAAACACCACGUAAAUUUAUUACUGCAGUAAUAAAUUUACGUGGUGUUUCCACAAACAAAAACAAUUAAAUUUUAAAUCUGUUCA